rnacentral:rRNA from 1 species
CUACGGGUUGCUGCAGUGGGGAAUAUUGGACAAUGGGGGAAACCCUGAUCCAGCAAUGCCGCGUGUGUGAAGAAGGCCUGCGGGUUGUAAAGCACUUUCGGUUGGGAGGACUGCUUCUAGCACUAAUAUUGUUGGAAGUUGACGUUACCUUCAGAAGAAGCACCGGCUAACUCCGUGCCAGCAGCCGCGGUAAUCACGGAGGGUGCAAGCGUUAAUCGGAAUUACUGGGCGUAAAGCGCGCGUAGGCGGCUAGAUCAGUCGGGUGUGAAAGCCCCGGGCUUAACCUGGGAACUGCAUCCGAUACUGUCUAGCUGGAGUACAGGAGAGGAGAGUGGAAUUCCACAUGUAGCGGUGAAAUGCGUAGAUAUGUGGAGGAACACCAAUGGCGAAGGCAGCUCUCUGGCCUGAUACUGACGCUGAGGUGCGAAAGCGUGGGGAGCAAACAGGAUUAGAUACCCGAGUAGUC